ensembl:snRNA U6 U6 spliceosomal RNA
GUGUUCGCUUCGGCAACACAUAUACUAAAAUUGGAACGAUACAGAGAAUAUUAGCAUGGCUCCUGCACAAGGAUGACAUGCAAAUUCAUGAAGCGUUCCAUAUUUUU